GCAGAGUAGGUUUGUGUGCGUUAAGUGCUGGUUGAACAGGGAGUUGUCAGCCGGACGAAAAGAUUUUCUUGCGGUACACGAAUCGCAUCCCGCUGC
rnacentral:ncRNA from 10 species